rnacentral:tRNA from 1 species
GAAGGCAUAGCCUAGUGGUAGCGAGCGUGCGUGUAGUGCAGGUGAUUGUGGGUUCGAUCCCCCCGUGCUGCA